CCUACGGGUGGCAGCAGUGGGGAAUAUUGCACAAUGGGGGAAACCCUGAUGCAGCGACGCCGCGUGAGUGAAGAAGUAAUUCUUUACGUAAAGCUCUAUCAGCAGGGAAGAAACACUGACCUUACGGUCAGCAGACGGUACCUGCGUCAGAAGCCCCGGCUAACUACGGGCCAGCAGCCGCGGUAAUACGUAGGGGGCAAGCGUUAUCCGGAUUUACUGGGUGUAAAGGGAGCGUAGACGGUGGGCCAAGUCUGGAGUGAAAUGCCGCAGCUUAACUGCGGAACUGCUUUGGAAACUGGCGGACUAGAGGGCGGGAGGGGUAAGCGGAAUUCCUAGUGUAGCGGUGAAAUGCGUAGAUAUUAGGAGGAACACCGGUGGCGAAGGCGGCUUACUGGACCGUAACUGACGUUGAGGCUCGAAAGCGUGGGGAGCAAACAGGAUUAGAUACCCCUGUAGUC
rnacentral:rRNA from 1 species